CCCGAAUUCUUGGGCUGGAUUUGGUGAGCGCUAAACGGGAACUAGGCUCGUUAAGGACUGUGAGACGUGCAUUUGCAAAGACUGCGGUGGUUGGUCAGUCAACCUCACUUAUGUCGACAUCGAGCGUCCACUGGCGUCAGGUUCUGAGCCGGACAGUUCCCGAAGGUCACCGCUGCAUACACACCUGACGGUAGAGCGCGCCCCGCUGCGCGUCACCUGCUCGCAGCCUGCGGACAGGCCUCCGGAGCCUCCCAGGAACCCAUCCUUAAACACGACUCGGAAGGACGCGGUCUCAACGCAAGACCGAGCUUCACCUGCAGCACCCGGGGAGACAGAGGUGGCAGUGUGAUGUGGACGCUCCUGGGCGCUACGCCGAGAAGGCAAACUUUGGAGCCAGACGCUGCAGCUUCAACUUCCAGCAGACGCUUCUCCCCGCAGUGUGGGCCUGAGCAACGGGGGAGCCCACCUGCAAGAUGGGGGAAUGAAUGAUACAGACCCAUCCCAGGGCUGUUCUAAGAAACGGAAUUUGUAGGGAGCCACCUAGUCAGGACCCUGACUCGGGAAGUACUCAGCGAAUGACGGGCAUUUUUAUCUUUCUCAAACAUUGUUAUCCUUUUCAUAUCCAUAUGUCAUCCUUGCUCAAACGUUUAAAAAUGCCUUCUAUGCACCAAGUCCUGUGCUAGACCUUGCAGAUACAGA
ensembl:lncRNA